UGUGCAGGUGGCUUGUAAAGUCAGAUGUGAAAGCCCCGAGCUUAACUCGGGAAGUGCAUUUGAAACUCACAAGCUUGAGUAUGGAAGAGGGUCGUGGAAUUCCAGGUGUAGUGGUGAAAUACGUAGAUAUCUGGAGGAACACCGGUGGCGAAGGCGGCGACCUGGUCCAAUACUGACACUCAUACACGAAAGCGUGGGAUCAAACA
rnacentral:rRNA from 1 species